GACGAACGCUGGCGGCGUGCUUAACACAUGCAAGUCGAACGGAAAGGCCCGGCUUUUGUGGGUUGCUCGAGUGGCGAACGGGUGAGUAACACGUGAGUAACCUGCCCUUGACUUUGGGAUAACUCCAGGAAACAGGGGCUAAUACCGGAUAGGAGCUCCUGCUGCAUGGGGGGGGUUGGAAAGAUUCGGCGGUUGGGGCUCGACUCGCGGCUUAUCAGCUUGUUGGUGGGGUAGGUGCUUACCAAGCCUUUGACGGGUAGCCGGCAUGAGAGGGUGACCGGCCACAUUGGGACUGAGAUACGGCGCAGACGGCUACGGGAGGCAGCAGGGGGGAAUAUGGCGGAAUGGGGGGAAGCCUGAUGCAGCAACGCCGCGUGCGGGAUGACGGCCUUCGGGUUGUAAACCGCUUUCGCCUGUGACGAAGCGUGAGUGACGGUAAUGGGUAAAGAAGCACCGGCUAACUACGUG
rnacentral:rRNA from 1 species